GGGCUUGCUUCUCAAGGAAAGUGCUUCCCAGGGAGCUCCCAGUGAGGCAGGUGCAAGUGUCCCCCUUUGGCUCUCUGUGCUCCUUUCAGUCCUUGAGGCCCGCUGCACUUGGCAGAGGGGCAGGGGAAGGGAGAAGGCUGUGAAGAGCAGGUUUGGCAUCCACCUGGACCUGCAGGGACCAACCCAAGCACCUGCAGCAGCGUGUGUUACCCCCCUUUGGACAGAGGGGUGGGCAGCUGAUGCAGCCAAGAGCUCCGUGAUGCCUCACCACACCCGUCGUGUUCCUGAGAGGACUCCCAGCCAAAGCUCAGCAUCACGGCCACCUCUGCCACGUGCUCCCUGAGGUGACUCCUCUGGAUAUCGAGCCCUGGAGGAGAGGUUACACCUCAGGUUUUGCCUGGCUUGAAGAGAAUAAAAAGCCCCAUUGGUGACAGCAACAUCAACAGAUGCAAACUAGGGAGUGAGUGUGGAAGUGAGCUGCCUUCACCUUUAUCUGCUGCUGUUGGACAGAUGAAUCCACACUACGGCAGAGCACUUGCAGAUUACUCUCCUUCUUCUGUGAAAGUUUGCCUAUCAGUGUAAGCGGCAUCUGGAGAUGGGAAAACUGAACUUCAGAUAUUCACCACAGCUAUCUUCAAAGGCCGUGGACUUCCAAAGAGCUGCUCGCCUGGCUGUGCAUAUAUGGAGCCUGUAUUUUUCCUUCUGCUUCUCCAGGUGGGAACUGAAAAGCUUGCACCUAUAAAGAAGCACCCAUCAUUGUCCUGACAUCAGUUUGAGGUGGGCUAGUAGGUAUUUCCAAGGGUCUCAGCUGUUUGCAGGUGAGAAGUCAUUUUUUCUUGCACAAGCUUUCUUCUUGCAUGGGCUUUUGGCUGCUUGUCACGUAUGAGGCUGUGCUGGCAGGCAAGAGGAGACCCAACUGAAUAUUUCUGUCACACCAAGUGUUUGGAUUUGUUUCAGGGUGGCUCACUCUGUGCAGAGAUGCCUGCUUCCAGCUUUGUGCACUCUGGCACGUGUUGCCUAAUGGACCAGGACUUCUCGCUCAGCCCAGCUGACAAGGAGCAUCUCUGUCACCACAGCUGACACACGCCUGCUUUGUUAAAUGACAUAAGGUGCUGCAGUGCAAGGCACAAGUUCUCCCAUGCUUUCAGCUAAACAAUUUACUGCUGUGCUGCAUAUACCCUUUGGUCCAGCAAGGGAGGACCCAGAGCUGGUCAGUGUCCCAGUGGCCAGCUCUGUCCCCCUUGACACUGCAAGGAGCAGUGGAAACAAAGUGACAUGUUGACCUAAUGCCCUACCUGUAGGGCAUUCACACCUACCCUGCCUGACAGCUCCCAAACUGCCUGCUGAGGUUCAGCCCCAUGAGGCAUUUUCUGCUCUGCUACGUCCCAGCUUCUCCAGUCCUCCUGCCUCUGCACCAUCCUGGGUGUAGGCAAAGCCAGGGCUUUGGAAUGUGUGUUUCUGGCUGCAAACUGAGGUCUUUUCUGCACAUCAAAUGCUCAUCAGCGACUGGGAACACAACCAAGGAGGUUGUGGAGGAGAGGAGGAAGCCACACUUGAUCCCACAGAAACCACAAACCUAAUUUCACACCGAAGGCAAUUAGCCAGCACGCAUUUGGUUAGGGUGGCUGUGCUACUUUGUAAAACGUGACCUUUUAAUAAGCUGGAGUGGUGGAUCUGAGUUUCAGCCAGUCUACACUGGCAAAAGAAAACCACCAGCAGUUAAAUAUCAUCAGGAGAGGGAAGCAGUUGUGAAGUGGCCCUCAAAACCAUCUCUGUGCACUUCCAAGUCCUGUUUUGCACGACGGGAUCACGUCCCUGACUCCAUGCCAUCACACUCAUCCUCCCUCCUGAAGCCAGCAGGAUGCUGCAGCAUCCUUGGCUGGGCAGUGCUGACUCAGGCACAGGGUCCUGUGCCUGCUCCCUGGCACUGCUGUCCCCCAGAUAUUUCACCACUAGAUAUAAAAAUCCCCGAGUCAGGCGCUUGCGGCUGCGCUCACUGCAAGGAGAAGCAGUAAAAGGCUGAUUUAUGCUCUGAACCACAAAAGCCUUUUAUUGCUGCUUUUUUACUUGAAUGUAACUCUCUUGCCCUUAAAUGUGUAAUCCCUUUCUAACAGUCUUGUGGAAGUGGCAGGGCUCUCCA
rnacentral:lncRNA from 1 species